rnacentral:rRNA from 1 species
ACGAACGCUGGCGGCUGCUUAACACAUGCAAGUCGAACGGAGUGGCGAACGGGUGAGUAACGCGUGAGCAACCUGCCUAUGCCAGUGGGAUAGCCUCGGGAAACCGGGAUUAAUACCGCAUAGUCAUAGUUGGGGUCGCGUCUGAUUAGAUAGUUGGUGAGAUAACAGCCCACCACGGCGACGAUCAGUAGCCGGUCUUGGGAGACGAACGAGAACGUUGCGACUGGGACACGGUGCAAACUCUUACGGGAGGCAGCAAUGGUGAACAUUGAACGAUGGGGUAAUGCCUGAGGCAGCGACGCCGCGUGAACGAAGAAGGUAUGCAGAUCGUAAAGUUCUGUCCUAUGGUAAGCAGUACCAUAGCAGAAAGCUCCGGCUAAAUACGUGCCAGCAGCCGCGGUAAUUC